rnacentral:lncRNA from 10 species
GAGAUGCACAGAAUGCAUGUACUCCCUGCAGGAGGGUAGACGCCAAAGAGAAACAGAGAAGGAACAUGCUCAUCUUCCUUAACAUCAGGAGUGGAAGGUUAAAUGGUCUGAGGCAAGAAUAUAUACAGACUGUGGCAGUAGUCAAUGGCCUGACCAUCAGGGGCUGAUCAGGGGCUUGAGGAUUGGAGACAGAGGCAUGUGUAAGGACACGAGAGAGUAGGCACCAAGCGUGAAGAUUUUUGCGUCAUGUGUUAAUGCCCACCAGAAGCAGCCACCACAGAAGAAUUCCUGCAGAAAGUAGACAAAAUUUCUUGGCUAGUUGAUGUAUGGUCAGCCUUUGCCACUGUCAAUCCCAGGACAGACACAAUGGGCACAUGAACAGACUGGCUAUGGUGGCAGAAAUGAAGGCUAUGUAUUGACCCAAAAGCAUGGACUCCCACUUCCCAGGGCCAGUCUGGCUAUUGCUGCCUCUCAGUGUUCAAAUUUUCAGGAUUAUAGACCAACACUGGGGUCCCCGAGGAGGCAAGCCUGAGGGUUCCUUCCAUCCUAGGAGGGCCAGCAGUUCAUGCUCACAGGGUAGAUACUUAUUCCAGACAUGGAUUUGCCUUUCUUGUCCACAGAGCCUCAGCCAGCAUGAUUUUCUGGAGGGUUUUGGAAAGCCUGAUCCACGGACAUGGAAUUCCAUCCAACAUAGCCUCUGACCAGGCAAUCUAUUUUAUAAGGAAGAGAUAUGGGUCUGGGCCCAUGACUCCAUUUCCUGAGUGAAUAGAGCGGUCAUGGCUAUAAACAGUGGUGUUUACAAUGAAUUGAUCACAACCAGUUACAGAUUUCUUUGUUCCUUCUCCACUACCACUGCUUUACUUGACUAGCCUUAAAAAAAGAUGGAGAGAAAAAAGAAAAUAAUGUGAGCUUUCCAUUUUUCACUUGGCAUUGCCUGAGUAGACAUUGUGGAAUUGCUCCAUUUUGAUCUUCUUAUGUGCUGUUAUAGAUGGAAUUGUGAACCCCCAAAAUACACAUGUUGAAUUCCUAACCCCCAGUAGGACAGCAUGUGACUAUAUUUGCAGACAGGGCUUUUGAAGAGGUAAUUAAGGUAAAAUGAGGUCACUUGGGUCCCAUAAUCCCAUAUGAUUGGUGCCCUUAUAAUAAGAGGAGAUUGGAACAUAGACGUACACAAAGGAAAGGCCAUGUGAAGACAAGUGGAGAAGAUGGCCAUCUACAAGCCAAUGAGCGAGGUCUCAGAAUGAAGUCAACCUUGCUGACCCUCC